rnacentral:lncRNA from 1 species
GACAGUCUCAACAUCUGGUUUAAUGAAACCACUGCCGGGGCCGACCUUAAUAUAGAGUACACAGAUGGCUACCUACGUGGUGUGAUCUGAGGGCAACCAAGACAAGGUUCUUCACCACAUUGCCUGCUUGACCAGCA